rnacentral:snoRNA from 1 species
UGUCACUAUAACAUUUUGGUAGUAAAAGGAAAAAAACGAAACAAUGAAUUUGCAAAUGCAGGUAGCCAGUGUGGUCCGGGAGGGGCAAGCCUCCCGCUGACACGGCACAGGACUUGGGGCUCAACGAGGGUAGUCUGGUAGUAAUUCUUGCUACAAAG